rnacentral:rRNA from 1 species
UACAGAGGUCUCGAGCGUUAGGCGGAAUCACUGGGCUUAAAGCGUGUGUAGGUGGAUCGUUAAGUACCUUGUGAAAUCCCACGGCUUAACCGUGGAACUGCUUGGUAUACUGGCGGUCUUGAGCCAGCUAGGGGCUACCGGAACAAAUGGUGGAGCGGUGAAAUGCGUAGAUAUCAUUUGGAACGCCAAUGGUGAAAACAGGUAGCUGGGGCUGUGCUGACGCUGAGACGCGAAGGCGUGGGGAGCGAACGGG